rnacentral:rRNA from 1 species
AUUGAACGCUGGCGGCAGGCUUAACACAUGCAAGUCGAGCGGGGAAGGUUGCUUCGGUAACUGACCUAGCGGCGGACGGGUGAGUAAUGCUUAGGAAUCUGCCUAUUAGUGGGGGACAACAUUCCGAAAGGGAUGCUAAUACCGCAUACGUCCUACGGGAGAAAGCAGGGGAUCAUUUGACCUUGCGCUAAUAGAUGAGCCUAAGUCGGAUUAGCUAGUUGGUAGGGUAAAGGCCUACCAAGGCGACGAUCUGUAGCGGGUCUGAGAGGAUGAUCCGCCACACUGGGACUGAGACGCGGCCCAGACUCCUGCGGGAGGCAGCAGUGGGGAAUAUUGGACAAUGGGGGGAACCCUGAUCCAGCCAUGCCGCGUGUGUGAAGAAGGCCUUUUGGUUGUAAAGCACUUUAAGCGAGGAGGAGGCUCUCUUGGUUAAUACCUGAGAAGAGUGGACGUUACUCGCAGAAUAAGCACCGGCUAACUCUGUGCCAGCCGCCGCGGUAA